rnacentral:rRNA from 1 species
UACGGAGGUGGCAAGCGUUGCUCGGAAUCACUGGGCGUAAAGGGUGCGUAGGCGGCCAUGUAAGUGAGGUGUGAAAUCCCUCGGCUCAACCGAGGAACUGCGCUUCAUACUGCAUGGCUUGAGGGAGACAGGGGUAAGCGGAACUGAUGGUGGAGCGGUGAAAUGCGUUGAUAUCAUCAGGAACACCGGUGGCGAAAGCGGCUUACUGGGUCUCUUCUGACGCUGAGGUACGAAAGCUAGGGUAGCGAACGGG